rnacentral:misc_RNA from 1 species
GUGAAGAACGCAGUGAAAUGCGAUAAGUAAUGUGAAUUGCAGAAUUCAGUGAAUCAUCGAAUCUUUGAACGCACAUUGCGCCCCUUGGUAUUCCGAGGGGCAUGCCUGUUCGAGCGUCAUUAUAACCCUCAAGCUCAGCUUGGUGUUGGGGCCUGCUGCAGUGGCAGCCCUUAAAAUCAGUGGCGGCGCCAUCUGGCUCUAAGCGUAGUAAUUCUUCUCGCUAUGGAGUCCUGGUGGAUGCUUGCCAUCAACCCCCAAUUUUUCUAUGGUUGACCUCGGAUCAGGUAGGGAUACCCGCUGAACUUAAGCAUAUCAAUGAGCGGAGGA